rnacentral:tRNA from 1 species
UAAGAGGAAAAUCCCUCUAUCCCCAA